ACAUUCAGUAAAAGGAGAGAAGAUUAGCACUCUUAUUGAAAAGGAUGGAAGUAGUGGCCUUUACAACUCAUAUAUGAUUAAGGCAUUGCCACCUAUUUUGUGCCAUCCAACCAUGAGGCUGG